UACGAAUGGGGCAAGCGUUGUUCGGAAUCACUGGGCUUAAAGCGUGCGUAGGCGGAUAUGAAAGUCAGAAGUGAAAGCCUGGGGCUUAACCCUAGAACUGCUUUUGAAACUUCAUAUCUGGAAUCCGGUAGAGGUCAGGAGAAUUCCUAGUGUAGAGGUGAAAUUCGCAGAUAUUAGGAGGAACACCAGUGGCGAAGGCGCCUGACUGGGCCGGUAUUGACGCUGAGGCACGAAAGCGUGGGGAGCAAACAGG
rnacentral:rRNA from 1 species